rnacentral:rRNA from 1 species
UACGAGGGGUGCAAUUGUUGUUCGGAAUCACUGGGCGUAAAGGGAGCGUAGGCGGGUUCUUAAGUAAGGUGUUUAAUCCCGGGGCCCAACCCCGGACCGGCACUUUAAACUGGGAAUCUUGAAUAGUGGAGAGGUCGGUGGAAUUGGGGGUGUAGCGGUGGAAUGCGUAGAGAUCCCCAAGAACACCAGUUGCGAAGGCGGCCGACUGGACACAUAUUGACGCUGAGGCUCGAAAGCAUGGGGAGCAAACAGG